rnacentral:rRNA from 1 species
CAGCAGCCGCGGUAAUACGAAGGGUGCAAGCGUUAAUCGGAAUUACUGGGCGUAAAGCGUGCGUAGGCGGUGAGUUAAGUCUGCUGUGAAAUCCCCGGGCUCAACCUGGGAAUUGCAGUGGAUACGGGGUCACUAGAGUGUGGUAGAGGAUAGUGGAAUUUCCGGUGUAGCAGUGAAAUGCGUAGAGAUCGGAAGGAACAUCUGUGGCGAAGGCGACUAUCUGGGCCAACACUGACACUGAGGCACGAAAGCGUGGGGAGCAAACAGGAUUAGAUACCCGCGUAGUCCCUGUCUCUUAUAA